rnacentral:RNase_P_RNA from 1 species
GCGAGUUGGUUUGGUAGCUUCGCUCACAUGUCAAAGUGUGAGUGAGGAAGUUCUCUCCACCCGCUAACUAACAAAGGCUGAGAAGCCUGCAUCAGAAUCAGAAACGAGACCAUAUUGCCUCGUUAACUAUGAUCAAUAGUGAGUUGAGGCGAUGUUGGAUGAAACGGUCUGGUGCUGGUUGGGUGCAAGCGUAAGCGCUUAGACAAAUGCUACCUAUGCGUUUGCUGAAGUCAAAUUCAGCGAAUGCAAAAACAUAAGAGAGGCUAUUGCCAACACGC